GGUUGAUCCUGCCAGUAGUCAUAUGCUUGUCCUAAAGAUUAAGCCAUGCAUGUCCAAGUAUAAACAAGUAUACACCGUGAAACUGCGAAUGGCUCAUUACACCAGUUAUAAUUCACUUGAGAGAGCGAUGCUAUGGACAACCGUGGUAAUUCUAUGGCUAAUACAUGAGGAGUUUGGUGGGGUGUCAUAUCCCACCAGACGGGCAUUUAUUAGAUUACAACCAAACACAUUGGAAUCAUGGUAACUGUGCAGAUCGCGACACAUGUCGCGACGGCUCAUGCAAAUUUCUGCC
rnacentral:rRNA from 1 species